ACCAGCAACUUGGAGGAAUGUAUAGGGAAAACUGGUAAAAUGUGAUGUACCUAGUAAUAUUAGAAAUCAAUAUGAGAUUAACUAAGUUAAUUAAAGUUCUAAGUAGGUGUUUGAUUAUGACAAUACCUGCAUAAGUCUUGACCAAGUCACGUGCCAGCAGUCGCGGUAACACGUGGAAGACAAGUGUUAUUCAUCUUUAUUGGGUUUAAAGGGUACCUAGACGGUUAAUUAAGCAAUUAGAUGUACUAAUUAACUAGAGUUUAAUGUAAGAAGGAUUGAGUACGGUGAGAGUAGAGAUAAAAUUCUUUGAUACCACUUAGGAACUGGUAACAGCGAAGGCUACCUUCAAUGUAAAAACUGACGUUAAGGGACGAAGGCUUGUAUUAAAUAAUAGGAUUAGAUACCCUUGUAUUUUGAGCAGAAAAUGAUGAGUGUCAUAUACAAGAUAUUUAUUUUGUGUAUAAAUGAAAGUGUAAGCACUCCACCUCAAGAGUAACGUGGCAACAUGGGAACUGAAAUCAUUAGACCGUUUCUGAAACUCGUAGUGAAGUAUGUUGUUUAAUUUGAUGGCCCUCAAAUAACCUUACCACAAUUUGAAUAACUAUUGUAAGAUAGUAACAAGCGUUGCACGGCUGUCUUCAGUCAAUGUUGUGAAACUUUGGUUAGAUCCAUUUAAUUGACGUAAACCCUUACUUUAUUUAUUAUAAAGUAGUU
rnacentral:rRNA from 1 species